UGGGGAGUAGCCAAGUCGGUAAGGCAAUUGGUUUUGAUCCAGUGACGCGUAGGUUCGAGUCCUACCUCCCCAACCA
rnacentral:tRNA from 1 species